AGCGAACGCUGGCGGCAGGCUUAACACAUGCAAGUCGAGCGGGCACUUCGGUGUCAGCGGCAGACGGGUGAGUAACACGUGGGAACGUACCCUUUGGUUCGGAAUAACGCUGGGAAACUAGCGCUAAUACCGGAUACGCCCUUUUGGGGAAAGGCUUGCUGCCGAAGGAUCGGCCCGCGUCUGAUUAGCUCGUUGGUGGGGUAAUGGCCUACCAAGGCGACGAUCAGUAGCUGGUCUGAGAGGAUGAUCAGCCACACUGGGACUGAGACACGGCCCAGACUCCUACGGGAGGCAGCAGUGGGGAAUAUUGGACAAUGGGCGCAAGCCUGAUCCAGCCAUGCCGCGUGAGUGAUGAAGGCCUUAGGGUUGUAAAGCUCUUUUGUCCGGGACGAUAAUGACGGUACCGGAAGAAUAAGCCCCGGCUAACUUCGUG
rnacentral:rRNA from 1 species